UCAUCUCUUAUACCAUUAAUUGUUGGGCUGGUUUGUGGAAUUAUUUUUAUUAUUCUCCUGCUCCUGUUGUAUCGCUACAGACGAUCCAAAGAUUCACACUUUAUCAGGCCGAUCCAGUCUGAGAGCACCAAUCAGGACCCCGCCGUG